rnacentral:rRNA from 1 species
GACGAACGCUGGCGGCGUGCCUAAUACAUGCAAGUAGAACGCUGAAGAGAGGAGCUUGCUCUUCUUGGAUGAGUUGCGAACGGGUGAGUAACGCGUAGGUAACCUGCCUUGUAGCGGGGGAUAACUAUUGGAAACGAUAGCUAAUACCGCAUAACAAUGGAUGACACAUGUCAUUUAUUUGAAAGGGGCAAUUGCUCCACUACAAGAUGGACCUGCGUUGUAUUAGCUAGUAGGUGAGGUAAUGGCUCACCUAGGCGACGAUACAUAGCCGACCUGAGAGGGUGAUCGGCCACACUGGGACUGAGACACGGCCCAGACUCCUACGGGAGGCAGCAGUAGGGAAACUUCGGCAAUGGGGGCAACCCUGACCGAGCAACGCCGCGUGAGGGAAGAAGGUUGUCGGAUCGUAAAGCUCGGUUGUAAGUCAAGAACGGGUGUGAGAGUGGAAAGUUCACACUGUGACGGUAGCUUACCAGAAAGGGACGGCUAACUACGUG